CAGUAGCCGCGGUAAUACGUAGGGUGCAAGCGUUAAUCGGAAUUACUGGGCGUAAAGGGAGCGUAGGCGGAUCGUUAAGUUGGGGGUGAAAGCCCGGGGCUCAACCUCGGAAUUGCCUUCAAUACUGGCGAUCUUGAGCAUGGAAGAGGUAUGUGGAACUCCGAGUGUAGAGGUGAAAUUCGUAGAUAUUCGGAAGAACACCAGUGGCGAAGGCGACAUACUGGUCCAUUACUGACGCUGAGGCUCGAAAGCGUGGGGAGCAAACAGGAUUAGAUACCCCAGUAGUCCCUGUCUCUUAUAC
rnacentral:rRNA from 1 species